UUUCAGCGCAGUAGAAGGAUU
rnacentral:miRNA from 1 species